rnacentral:lncRNA from 1 species
AUUUUACAUGAAUAAACUCAAAUUCCUUUUGCAUACAACUAACAAACGCAAAUCUUAAAACGUAUUCUAUUUAUAAUGUGUAAGCUACUGAGUUUUAAGUGAAACAUUUUAAAAUGUUGACCAGAAGAGAAAAAUCCUAAGAACCAGACCAUAAACAGUAUACAGACACAUCAAGGUGUGAAAUUAUAUCAUCACUUUUAAAUGCAUAAAACUCACAGAGUAAAAACUGAAAUUCUGAUGCUUCUUUAGCAAGAAUGAAACACAGCCUCAAAAACCAAUAUAAAAACUAACCUUUUGAAAUGUCCUUUAGGUCUUAUUUCAAACUGUUUUUUCAACUAUUUACAGAACCACAUUUAGUAAGUGUCUUCUUUUUUUCGAUCUUUUACUAUAAACUAUUUCAGUCAAACAUAAAGAUACAGGGAUCUAUACCAAAGAAGACCUACAUAAGCUCCAACCAGCCAAAGAAUAAAAG